GAGCACGUGUCUGAAGGGGCAGAAAGGAGCCCAGGGCAGGAGGGGCGGCGCCGGUCCCCCAGGCGCUGCCGGGGAGAAGGGCUACCAAGGUGCACAGGGGCUGCGAGGUCCCCGAGGGACGAGGGGCGCGGCAGGACACCCGGGGUGCCGGGGAGCUCAGGGGCUUUCCGGAGACGUGGGGCCCCCCGGGAACACCGGCCCCGCUGGCCCCAAGGGCGUGAAGGGGGAGGCCGGAGAAAGAGGCGAGAAGGGGGACGUAGGAUCUCUGGGGCUCAAGGGGGCGCUGGGGGACAAUGGAUGCGAUAGACGAGGCGCUCCAGGGAGGCAGGGCCCAAAGGGCGCCGGAGGAGGCCGCGGAGAGCCUGGAGCUCAGG